GUGACUCCCUCCUCUGCUGACAACAGAUAACCACCUUUAACUGUAACUUUCCACAGCCUACCCCAGCCCUAUAAAGCUGCCCCUCUCCUAUCUCCCUUCGCUGACUCUCUUUUCAGACUCAGCCCACUUGCACCCAAGUGAAUUAACAGCCUUGUUGCUCACACAAAGCCUGUUUAGGUGGUCUUCUAUACGGACAUGCUUGACACUUGGUGCCAAAAUCUGGGCCAGGGGGACUCCUUCGUGAGACCGGCCCCCUGUCCUGGCCCUCAUUCCGUGAAGAGAUCCACCUGCGACCUCGGGUCCUCAGACCAGCCCAAGGAACAUCUCACCAAUUUCAAAUCGGAUCUCCUCGGCUUAGUGGCUGAAGACUGAUGCUGCCCGAUCGCCUCAGAAGCCCCUUGGACCAUCACAGAUGCCGAGCUUCGGGUAACUCUUACGGUGGAGGGAUCUGCAAUCAGAACUAUUGAACUUCUCCAUUCAGACCGCCACUCACACCUAUGGGAAAAGGGUGUCCACGCAGUCCCUGGUCACACUUGAAGCAGUCCGGAGAAAUAUCAGCCCUACCCCAGUAAUCCCCAGAAGGAACUUACACUUUUUUUUAAUCUUUUCCUACAACUUCAUAUUUUAUAAAUAAAAAGACAAAAAUGUCAGGCCUGUGAGCUGAAGCUUAGCCAUUGUAACCCCUGUGACCUGCACAUAUCCGUCCAGGUGGCCUGCAGGAGCCAAGAAGUCUGGAGCAGCCGAAAAACCACAAAGAAGUGAAACAGCCAGUUCCUGCCUUAACUAAUUAACCCACCUUACGACAUUCCACCAUUAUGACUUGUCCACCAUUAUGACUUGUUCCUGCCCUGCCCCAACUGAUCAAUCAACCCUGUGACAUUCUUCUCCUGGACAAUGAGUCCCAUCAUCUCUCCACCAUGCACCUUGUGACCCCCUCCUCUGCUGAGGAUAACCACCUUUAACUGUAACUUUCCACGCCUACCCAAGCCCUAUAAAGCUGCCCCUCUCCUAUCUCCCUUCACUGACUCUCUUUUCGGACUCAGCCCACUUGCACCCAAGUGAAUUAACAGCCUUGUUGCUCACACAAAGCCUGAUUGGGUGUCUUCUAUACGGACACGCGUGACAGGAACCUCAACCCAAAGGCAGUCUGAUGAGGUGUCUAAGAUAAAAGUAGCGGCACAAAGGCUUUUGUAAACAGAGGCGUUUCAUGUGGUUUUCCUUUCCUUUCCUUAUAUGUGAAAAGGUGACAGAAAAGAAAUCUUCCUAAAAGAGUCAGCCA
rnacentral:lncRNA from 1 species